AUGGAAUCAUGUCACGCUGGAGAACUUGUGGGCAAUUACAAUGUACACUGCAUCCGGAUAACCUCUAUCGAGCCCUUGUGCUUAUGGUCUUUGCAACAGAACAAUGUUGGUUCCUGUCACCGUAAGCACGCCAAGCUAUUUUCUUACAGUAAACAGUGGCCUUCGGAACGCUGUACAUGCAGUAUUAUUCUUGCUCUGGGAAUGCAUCAUCCUGGUCUUGCUCCUAUGGCUGUACAUCAGUUUCGGCGUGCGAAGAAACACAAUGCUUGGAACACGACGAGCAUUUUUGGUUUUCAGUUAAUACAGUGUGACCCAGUGCUAUCUUUUGAUCUAGCUAACAUCACUGAACAAGGGCAGCACACUUUCUUGGUUUCCGCUGAGCCAAGCAAUUGUUGUGAGGCUGGAUCAAAGAGAGUGAAAUUCAACACUCUGUCUGUUUUCCCUAAUUGA
rnacentral:rRNA from 1 species